GAUGAACGCUGGCGGCGUGCCUAAUACAUGCAAGUCGAGCGAACGGACGAGAAGCUUGCUUCUCUGAUGUUAGCGGCGGACGGGUGAGUAACACGUGGAUAACCUACCUAUAAGACUGGGAUAACUUCGGGAAACCGGAGCUAAUACCGGAUGAUAUUUUGAACCGCAUGGUUCAAAAGUGAAAGACGGUCUUGCUGUCACUUAUAGAUGGAUCCGCGCUGCAUUAGCUAGUUGGUAAGGUAACGGCUUACCAAGGCAACGAUGCGUAGCCGACCUGAGAGGGUGAUCGGCCACACUGGAACUGAGACACGGUCCGGACUCCUACGGGAGGCAGCAGUAGGGAAUCUUCCGCAAUGGGCGAAAGCCUGACGGAGCAACGCCGCGUGAGUGAUGAAGGUCUUCGGAUCGUAAAACUCUGUUAUUAGGGAAGAACAUAUGUGUAAGUAACUGUGCACAUCUUGACGGUACCUAAUCAGAAAGCCACGGCUAACUACGUG
rnacentral:rRNA from 1 species